rnacentral:rRNA from 1 species
CCAUGCGGGGUAUUGCCCUUAGUAACGGCGAGUGAAGCGGCAAAAGCUCAAAUUUGAAAUCUGGCACCUUCGGUGUCCGAGUUGUAAUUUGAAGAAGGUAACUUUGGAGUUGGCUCUUGUCUAUGUUCCUUGGAACAGGACGUCACAGAGGGUGAGAAUCCCGUGCGAUGAGAUGCCCAAUUCUAUGUAAAGUGCUUUCGAAGAGUCGAGUUGUUUGGGAAUGCAGCUCUAAGUGGGUGGUAAAUUCCAUCUAAAGCUAAAUAUUGGCGAGAGACCGAUAGCGAACAAGUACAGUGAUGGAAAGAUGAAAAGAACUUUGAAAAGAGAGUGAAAAAGUACGUGAAAUUGUUGAAAGGGAAGGGCUUGAGAUCAGACUUGGUAUUUUGCGAUCCUUUCCUUCUUGGUUGGGUUCCUCGCAGCUUACUGGGCCAGCAUCGGUUUGGAUGGUAGGAUAAUGACUAAAGAAUGUGGCUCUACUUCUGUGGAGUGUUAUCCCCAUGGUUGAUAAUGCCUGUCUAGACCUAGGGCGGCCUCUUUCGACUGCCAAGGUGGUCCCCUGGGGGGUCACUAUCCCUCCCUAGGGGAACCACAAAAAAAAUUUUAUAAAAAGGGGGGGUUUUAUGGGGGUUGCUUUCUGCAGGGAAGGGCCCUAGUGCAGCAAAUUGAUCGCAAGA